GAUGAACGCUGGCGGCGUGCUUAACACAUGCAAGUCGAACGAUGAAGCCCAGCUUGCUGGGUGGAUUAGUGGCGAACGGGUGAGUAACACGUGAGUAACCUGCCCUUAACUCUGGGAUAAGCCUGGGAAACUGGGUCUAAUACCGGAUAGGAGCGUCCACCGCAUGGUGGGUGUUGGAAAGAUUUAUCGGUUUUGGAUGGACUCGCGGCCUAUCAGCUUGUUGGUGAGGUAAUGGCUCACCAAGGCGACGACGGGUAGCCGGCCUGAGAGGGUGACCGGCCACACUGGGACUGAGACACGGCCCAGACUCCUACGGGAGGCAGCAGUGGGGAAUAUUGCACAAGGGGCGCAAGCCUGAUGCAGCGACGCCGCGUGAGGGAUGACGGCCUUCGGGUUGUAAACCUCUUUCAGUAGGGAAGAAGCGAAAGUGACGGUACCUGCAGAAGAAGCACCGGCUAACUACGU
rnacentral:rRNA from 1 species